ACGCCCGGCCUAUCCCCCGAGCAGGGGGAUGGCGCCAGCAACCCAGCUCCGCCAGCUGAGGUGGGAACCAGAGGACGGGGCGGGUCCCGCUCCUCGACGGGGGCGUGGCCUGUAGGCCACCACGCGGUGGGCGGGCGGUGGGCGUGGCCUCGGCCACAGUUUCCGGGGAGGCCACGACAGCGUCCCUGAAGCCAGGUCCCGGGGUCGAGGCCUCACUCUCACCUGAGCGAGGCUGGACUGGGCCCGGGCACUCGCGCGCCUCGGUUUCCACACUUGGAACCGUUUUAGCCAGCCUGGGGCUGCCUUUGGAGUCGCAGCUGCUUGCGCCUUCUCUCCUGAGGUGGCUUUUCCGAGGAAAGUUCUUCAGAGCUCCAUCUCACUUCAGGGAUCCGCUCCCCAUCAGGACCCUUCAGGAAUGCACUUGGACGGAGAUUAAGUAAUUUGAUAUCAUACAGCGAGUAACUAGCAGGACCAGGAUUUGAACCUGAGUCUGACUCCAGAGCUCAGGAACCCACUUAUUCUGCCUUCUUCUCUGUGCAGACCACUUUCAAGGAUCUAUGAACACAAACAGAAGUACCCUGCUUUGGUCUACUUCAGAAGCUGCAAGUAGGCUGUGGUAAAGCAGAAAAUCCAGAGGAAUCCACACUCUGAACCAUAUAUCUUUUGGAUACCCAAUGCCUGGACUCCACUAUAGACCUACCAGACAUCUAACUCUGCUUUCGCAAGACCCACUCAUGACCUUGUCCACCUACUUCCCCAGAAGAGGCUCUUGUGAGUAAACUCUUGAGGCAACUGAAACCAGAUUGACCCAAGGACUGUUUAGCUUCUCUCGCUCCUGGAUGCCUUCCAACAUUGCCCUUUCAUUUUUUGCUAGAUUUAUGCUUCUACGGAAUACACAUUGUUUAGAAAAAUAUACAUAAGUGGUUAACCUAUCAAGAAAAUCAAGAGAAUGAUUAGCACAAAAGUCAAGAUAAUGAUUACUUCUGGGGACGAGGUUGGAGGUUUUAUUUAGGAAAGAACAUUUGGAAGACUUUUGAGGUACUGGUUAAUGUUCUGUUAAUCUUUGUGAUAAGUAUGUGGGUGUUAAACAUACUAUAUUUUCAACUUUACAUGUAUUUAAAAUACUCCUCCAUACAUAUAAUACACUUUACAAUAAAAAUUUGCAUACCAAGCAGAGCCACCCUGUGAAAUAUUGAAAUCAUAUGUUCAUAUGUACCUUCUGGGCCUUGAACAGAGGGAACUAUG